UCCCAGGUGGCUCAGCUGAUAAAGAAUCCGCCUGCAAUGCGGGAGACCUGGGUUUGAUCCCUGGGUUGGGAA
rnacentral:tRNA from 1 species